rnacentral:rRNA from 1 species
UGGGGAAUAUUGCACAAUGGGGGAAACCCUGAUGCAGCGACGCCGCGUGAGUGAAGAAGUAAUUCGUUACGUAAAGCUCUAUCAGCAGGGAAGAAAUACUGACCUUACGGUCAGCAGACGGUACCUGAGUAAGAAGCCCCGGCUAACUACGUGCCAGCAGCCGCGGUAAUACGUAGGGGGCAAGCGUUAUCCGGAUUUACUGGGUGUAAAGGGAGCGUAGACGGUGCGCCAAGUCUGGAGUGAAAUGCCGCAGCUUAACUGCGGAACUGCUUUGGAAACUGGCGAACUAGAGUGCGGGAGGGGUAAGCGGAAUUCCUAGUGUAGCGGUGAAAUGCGUAGAUAUUAGGAGGAACACCGGUGGCGAAGGCGGCUUACUGGACCGUAACUGACGUUGAGGCUCGAAAGCGUGGGGAGCAAACAGGAUUAGAUACCCUGGUAGUCCACGCCGUAAACGAUGAUUACUAGGUGUCGGGGACCCAAGGGUCUCCG